UUAUUUAGUUAGUUUACUACUCUAAUAGACAGUAGUGGCUAUCGGCACGCUAGCCUCCUCCUAGGCCUAGUAGUAGUGGUAGAUGAAGGCUUGAAUGAAGAGGCCUGGCCUAGCCUAAUUCCUACAGUAGCUGUACCGGUACUAGCCUAGCCGCCGUACGGAGACAGACAGAACUGAGGUUCUGUGUUCUCUCUAGGCCAUUGAGGAUAUAGGGCUAGGCCUAGAACCUGGGCCUUUUGUUGGCCUAGCUAAGCUGAUACUCAACUCUCGGUAACUACUGUAAGUGAAAAUUCAAUCCAGUCAACUCAAUCAUUGUAGUAAGAAAGCAUUAAUGUUUGUUUGAAGAUGUAUCUGUGAAGGCCAGAAAAUUACCUAACUUACUAAAGCAAGAGUGAAACUCCGAGAAAUGUUAGUAGAAGUCACAGUGAUUUAGUAUUUCAAACUAGAUUUGUUCAACGGCAUAAUUCAUACUAAUUUAGCUUGGUACCAUCUGACAAGAAAAGGCAUGGACAGUUGCUGCUGCAAUAUCACAAAGAAUGCUGGUUUAUGCACACCUGUAACUGUCACAAAUGGUUCUUGAAUAUUGUUUUAUAUAAUAAACUCUUGUAAUAGGACUACAUUACGAAAAAAAGAUGCUUAUUUAAACCGGACUGUAAAAGCAAAGAACUGUAGAACAGCCUUGAACUUGAGGUACAGUAUGUUUAGCAGUAAGACAUUAGCAAAAUGAUAAUAUAUGAAGGGGUAUGCUAGUAAAUGAGACCCUAGGGAAGUAAUGUCCCUACCGUAUGUGUUUGUUAGUGUUUU